rnacentral:rRNA from 1 species
AUUGAACGCUGGCGGCAUGCUUUACACAUGCAAGUCGAACGGUAACAGGUUAAGCUGACGAGUGGCGAACGGGUGAGUAAUGCAUCGGAACGUGCCCGGUCGUGGGGGAUAACGCAGCGAAAGCUGCGCUAAUACCGCAUACGAUCUGAGGAUGAAAGCGGGGGACCGUAAGGCCUCGCGCGAUCGGAGCGGCCGAUGUCAGAUUAGGUAGUUGGUGGGGUAAAGGCUCACCAAGCCGACGAUCUGUAGCUGGUCUGAGAGGACGACCAGCCACACUGGGACUGAGAAACGGCCCAGACUCCUACGGGAGGCAGCAGUGGGGAAUUUUGGACAAUGGGCGCAAGCCUGAUCCAGCAAUGCCGCGUGCAGGAAGAAGGCCUUCGGGUUGUAAACUGCUUUUGUACGGAGCGAAAAAGCUCUCUCUAAUACGGGGGGCUCAUGACGGUACCGUAAGAAUAAGCACCGGCUAACUACGUGCCAGCCGCCGCCGUAA